AUCUGUUUUAGAAACUAAAAUUAUUAAGUAUUUCCUACCAAUUUUCCUAAAUAAAGUUCCAGCUUAUUAAAAAACGGUUUAAAUAAAUUAAGUAAAUUUCGCGGCUAAAGUGAUCACGUGUGCAGCUCCGCAGGAAAAAAAAAAAUCUGCUUUCCUCAGCAGAGACGUCGACUAACCAUACUCCUCACAACUCCUGGUUAAGUAAGGUUAGUCAGCUAAUCCUACUUACGUUUGUAACACUUUAUUAUAAAGUUAAUAAUUAUUAAGCAUUUCCUAACAAUUGUCUUUGUAUUUUACGUCAUCUUCAACAAGUUUCGUAACUUAAUCGAGGUCACCUGAAGGACGGCGUUCCUGAGUUUCCUCAGCAACGGCAAGACCCGCACUCCUCUCAUAUCGGGAAGUUUAACGAGUUUCGCGGCUCAAGCAAGAGGCACCUGUCACUGAAGGACUGCUUUUCUCAGCAACGACGUGAACAGCAUUACUCGAAUUUCCUGGUUCAGCUGAUCUACCCAUCUUCGUACACGCAGAGUUGGCAGAGGAGGUCAUAAAAAUCUACAUCCUUCGGGACAAUGAUGGGGCAGUCAGCGAUGUAGGAGUUGUGAUUGAGGGCAUCACUGUCCUCCGCAGUCUUGGGAAUCUCAGCAGAGCCUGCUGCUAUCUUUUGGGAGUCACGAAUGCAUUGGAUUUGAGAUAUCCCAAGACCCACAAAUACAGGUCCUUCUCAAAAAAUUAGCUUAUUGUGAUAAAGUUCAUUAUUUUCCAUAAUGUAAUGAUAAAAAUUAAACUUUCAUAUAUUUUAGAUUCAUUGCACACCAACUGAAAUAUUUCAGGUCUUUUAUUGAUUUAAUACUGAUGAUUUUGGCAUACAGCUCAUGAAAACCCCAAAUUCUCAAAACAUUAGCAAAUUUCAUCUGACCAAUAAAAGAAAAGUGUUUUUAAUACCAAAAAAAAAGUCAACCUUUAAAUAAUUAUGUUCAGUUAUGCACUCAAUACUUCGGGAAUCCGUUUGCAGAAAUGACUGCUUCAAUGCGGCGUGGCAUGGAGGCAAUCAGCCUGUGGCACUGCUGAGGUGUUAUGGAGGCCCAGGAUGCUUCG